rnacentral:rRNA from 1 species
GAUGAACGCUGGCGGCGUGCCUAAUACAUGCAAGUCGAGCGGACCAAAGAGAGCUUGCUCUCUGAGGUUAGCGGCGGACGGGUGAGUAACACGUGGGUAACCUGCCUGUAAGACGGGGAUAACUUCGGGAAACCGAAGCUAAUACCGGAUGAUAAAGAGAAACGCCUGUUUCUUUUUUGAAAGUCGGCCUUGUGCUGACGCUUACAGAUGGGCCCGCGGCGCAUUAGCUAGCUGGUGAGGUAACGGCUCACCAAGGCGACGAUGCGUAGCCGACCUGAGAGGGUGAUCGGCCACACUGGGACUGAGACACGGCCCAGACUCCUACGGGAGGCAGCAGUAGGGAAUCUUCGGCAAUGGACGAAAGUCUGACCGAGCAACGCCGCGUGAGCGAUGAAGGCCUUCGGGUCGUAAGGCUCUGUUGUCAGAGAAGAACAAGUACCGGAGUAACUGCCGGUACCUUGACGGUACCUGACCAGAAAGCCACGGCUAACUACGUGCCAGCCGCCGCGGUAAUAC